UGGGGAAUAUUGCACAAUGGGCGCAAGCCUGAUGCAGCCAUGCCGCGUGUAUGAAGAAGGCCUUCGGGUUGUAAAGUACUUUCAGCGGGGAGGAAGGGAGUAAAGUUAAUACCUUUGCUCAUUGACGUUACCCGCAGAAGGAGCACCGGCUAACUCCGUGCCAGCAGCCGCGGUAAUACGGAGGGUGCAAGUGUUAAUCGGAAUUACUGGGCGUAAAGCGCACGCAGGCGGUUUGUUAAGUCAGAUGUGAAAUCCCCGGGCUCAACCUGGGAACUGCAUCUGAUACUGGCAAGCUUGAGUCUCGUAGAGGGGGGUAGAAUUCCAGGUGUAGCGGUGAAAUGCGUGGAGAUGUGGAGGAAUACCGGUGGCGAAGGCGGCCCCCUGGACAAAGACUGACGCUCAGGUGCGAAAGCGUGGGGAGCAAACAGG
rnacentral:rRNA from 1 species